GAUGAACGCUGGCGGCGUGCCUAAUACAUGCAAGUCGAGCGAACAGAUGAGGAGCUUGCUCCUCUGACGUUAGCGGCGGACGGGUGAGUAACACGUGGAUAACCUACCUAUAAGACUGGGAUAACUUCGGGAAACCGGAGCUAAUACCGGAUAAUAUAUUGAACCGCAUGGUUCAAUAGUGAAAGACGGUUUUGCUGUCACUUAUAGAUGGAUCCGCGCCGCAUUAGCUAGUUGGUAAGGUAACGGCUUACCAAGGCAACGAUGCGUAGCCGACCUGAGAGGGUGAUCGGCCACACUGGAACUGAGGCACGGUCCAGACUCCUACGGGAGGCAGCAGUAGGGAAUCUUCCGCAAUGGGGGAAAGCUUGACGGAGCAACGCCGCGUGAGUGAUGAAGGUCUUCGGAUCGUAGAACUCUGUUAUUAGGGAAGAACAAAUGUGUAAGUAACUAUGCACGUCUUGACGGUACCUAAUCAGAAAGCCACGGCUAACUACGUG
rnacentral:rRNA from 1 species